rnacentral:rRNA from 1 species
UACGAAGGGGGCUAGCGUUGCUCGGAAUCACUGGGCGUAAAGGGUGCGUAGGCGGGUCUUUAAGUCAGGGGUGAAAUCCUGGAGCUCAACUCCAGAACUGCCUUUGAUACUGAAGAUCUUGAGUUCGGGAGAGGUGAGUGGAACUGCGAGUGUAGAGGUGAAAUUCGUAGAUAUUCGCAAGAACACCGGUGGCGAAGGCGGCGUUCUGGACUGCUACUGACACUGAGGAACGAAAGCCAGGGGAGCAAACGGG